GUGAGGAAUAUUGGUCAAUGGGCGGGAGCCUGAACCAGCCAAGUCGCGUGAAGGAAGAAGGAUCUAUGGUUCGUAAACUUCUUUUGCAGGGGAAUAAAGUGCAGGACGUGUCCUGUUUUGUAUGUACCCUGAGAAUAAGGAUCGGCUAACUCCGUGCCAGCAGCCGCGGUAAUACGGAGGAUCCGAGCGUUAUCCGGCUUUCUUGGGUUUAAAGGGUGCGUAGGUGGUUUGAUAAGUCAGCGGUGAAAGUUUGCAGCUUAACUGUAAAAAUGCCGUUGAAACUGUCGGACUUGAGUGUAAAUGAGGUAGGCGGAAUGCGUGGUGUAGCGGUGACAUGCAUAGAUAUCACGCAGAACUCCGAUUGCGAAGGCAGCUUACUAAGCUACAACUGACACUGAAGCACGAAAGCGUGGGGAUCAAACAGGAUUAGAUACCCGAGUAGUCC
rnacentral:rRNA from 1 species